rnacentral:rRNA from 1 species
AGUGAACGCUGGCGGUAGGCCUAACACAUGCAAGUCGAACGGCAGCACAGUAAGAGCUUGCUCUUACGGGUGGCGAGUGGCGGACGGGUGAGGAAUACAUCGGAAUCUACUUUUUCGUGGGGGAUAACGUAGGGAAACUUACGCUAAUACCGCAUACGACCUACGGGUGAAAGCAGGGGAUCUUCGGACCUUGCGCGAUUGAAUGAGCCGAUGUCGGAUUAGCUAGUUGGCGGGGUAAAGGCCCACCAAGGCGACGAUCCGUAGCUGGUCUGAGAGGAUGAUCGGCCACACUGGAACUGAGACACGGUCCAGACUCCUACGGGAGGCAGCAGGGGGGAAUAUUGGGCAAUGGGCGCAAGCCUGACCGAGCCAUCCCGGGUGGGUGAAGAAGGCCUUCGGUUUGUAAGCCCUUUUUGUGGGGAAAAAAAAGAAGCGGUAAAAACCCCGCCUGUCUGGACGGUACCUAAUAAGAAAGCCCCGGCUAACUUCGUG